rnacentral:rRNA from 1 species
CAGUAGCCGCGGGAAUACGUAGGGUGCAAGCGUUAAUCGGAAUUACUGGGCGUAAAGCGUGCGCAGGCGGUUAUAUAAGACAGAUGUGAAAUCCCCGGGCUCAACCUGGGACCUGCAUUUGUGACUGUAUAGCUAGAGUACGGUAGAGGGGGAUGGAAUUCCGCGUGUAGCAGUGAAAUGCGUAGAUAUGCGGAGGAACACCGAUGGCGAAGGCAAUCCCCUGGACCUGUACUGACGCUCAUGCACGAAAGCGUGGGGAGCAAACAGGAUUAGAUACCCCAGUAGUCCCUGUCUCUUAUAU